UACGGGGGGAGCAAGCGUUGUUCGGAAUUACUGGGCGUAAAGGGCUCGUAGGUGGCCAACUAAGUCGGACGUGAAAUCCCUCAGCUUAACUGGGGAACUGCGUCCGAUACUGGAUGGCUUGAGUUUGGGAGAGGGAUGCGGAAUUCCAGGUGUAGCGGUGAAAUGCGUAGAUAUCUGGAGGAACACCGGUGGCGAAGGCGGCAUCCUGGACCAACACUGACACUGAUGAGCGAAAGCCAGGGGAGCAAACGGG
rnacentral:rRNA from 1 species